rnacentral:rRNA from 1 species
UACGGGGGGAGCAAGCGUUGUUCGGAUUUACUGGGCGUAAAGGGCGCGUAGGCGGUCAGCACAAGUCAGUUGUGAAAUCUCCGGGCUUAACUCGGAAAGGUCAACUGAUACUGUGCGGCUAGAGUGCGGAAGGGGCAAUCGGAAUUCUUGGUGUAGCGGUGAAAUGCGUAGAUAUCAAGAGGAACACCUGAGGUGAAGACGGGUUGCUGGGCCGACACUGACGCUGAAGCGCGAAAGCCAGGGGAGCAAACGGG